CAACUUUCAACAACGAUCUCUUGGCUCUCGCAUCGAUGAAGAACGCAGCGAAAUGCGAUAAGUAAUGUGAAUUGCAGAAUUCAGUGAAUCAUCGAAUCUUUGAA
rnacentral:rRNA from 1 species